ACCAUUACUUGUUUUUUGGUAUUACAUUUGACCAAUUAAUAUCAGAAUUUACAUUUAAUUUAACAGUGUACGUGCAAGAAAGAAACAAACUGAAGCAGCAGGUACACUUUCAAGGUGCUUUUGGACAAGAGAAGAUAUGAGCCACCUUCCUUCCUCAGUCACUGUCAUGUUUACGGUGGUUGAGGCUCCUCCCACCAAGUUAACGGCAGAAACUCGGCGAUGUCUUUGCUCCAUGGACUGGCCAUUGAUAUGAAUGGAGAAGAUUUCUGUCUUGGAACUCAUUCCUAUCAAGUGCCAGCUAAUGUUGUCAUAUGCACAAGCCUCUAAAUCUGAAAGAGACAGGAGAGUAGGGUUCACAAUACAGGCAAAUCAUGCAAGUUCCCUAUGCACCCUAGGUUUGAAGUGAAUCUUCACUGAAAACAUUAAAAAAAUUGCUGUGAUUGAUGUUUGCAACAAGAGGAAGUUUCAGAAGCGUGUAAAUGGAACAGAUACCAAAAUCCUGCAUGUCAGUGGAAGAUAGGCGUUUAAAUAUUACCUGCAAGUGACAAACACUUACAAUGAGCUGGCAAAAAAAGGAAAAGUAGCAAGUGCCUUCUUUUGGAAAGCUGACCUGUCCUUGCUUGGGGAGUGAGGGGAAAGCAGGACAGGAAGGGAGAAGAACAAAGCAAGGAUCUAAGCUAAAGAAUUAUGUGGUACCUAGUGACAGUAACUACCUUCUCCAAUAUUUGCUUAAAAAAAUCCCCGCUUAAGACAACCUUUUUUAUUUGCUCAAUGGAUGGGAGAGAGAUAUGAAAGUUGUUCCUUAGUAGAACAAGGGAAAAGCACUAGCAACAGAAUAGCCCCACCACCAUCUUCCUAGUCUUCUGACUUAAUUGAGUAUUUUAAUGAUAACUGACUUUCCACUUUCGGGAAGUUUUUCACCCAGUAUGUUCUAUAUGCUGUAGAACCAACAAUUCACUUAAUCAAAUCACUCUCUCGCCAUCAGCUUAUUAAAAAAAUGAGGAACCUAUUAUGUCCUUUAUUUUAAGUUAGGAAUCUUUUUCUUCAAGCAGAAGUCUUCCUAGAAUCAAUCUCAUUGUUCCUUUCAGUAAUUUGGCAUGACUUCCUUUCAGCAGCACAGUUUUUCUUCCAGAAUUUAGAUGCUCACAGACACAUUCUAAAAAAGGCUGUAUCCCAUUUCUCCACAUUCCCAUUCUUGUGCAUGAAAAGCAACUAAAGGUAAUAUUCAGUGUUCAUAAAUGUUAAUUUAAUUUCACAUAAGCCUGAAUGGUACCUGGUAACGUUCCAUCAGUAUAGCCAUUAAUUGUGUACUUGACCGAUGCUGAUCUUUGCCAACUCUUGUUUUCAUCAAACACACCAAACAUCAGUACAUAUUCCCUGUCAAAAUGUUUCUGUGACCCAUCCUCAUUUAGACUUCCUAUGAAGGAGAAACAACAGGUCUUAAUUUGAAGCAGAAAUAAAGCAGAUUUCACAUCCAUGCAGUUGCAUUAAUGUACAUUUAAGGAGCUUGUUUCACCUGUUAGCAUGUACUGGCUGAGCCUGAUCAAAACAAAGCCUUAAGAAUGCUCAUAAUGUGAUUUUAUUUCUGAAAGUACUUUUGGAUUGGCUAACCACCAAAUCAAAAGUCUGAAGUAUUCCAGAGAAGAUGAACAUCACACAACGAAUUGUCUCAGACAAUUUCUGGCAAUGUGUUACACAGAUCACCUAAAUGAAGGGGAGUGUCAAACACCUUCUGUUCACAACCAGGUGCUGCCCUCGCUUUUCAGACUGUGAGGCAAGGAGAAGAGCGAUGGCAGAGUCACCAGCAGUGUGAACAGCACCUUUUCAAGCACUGCACUGAGGUCAUCAGCACCUUUAAAAAGCUUAAAACCGACCACUCAGCAAACAACACUUACACACAAAAGACUUCAACAGACACUGCUGCACUGGAUCAGUUACAAGAAACUGUCCUGGUUGAUUUUGUGAUACAGAUGCAAUUUCUGUUGAGGAAAAAUUCAUUCUGGACAUGCUA